rnacentral:lncRNA from 1 species
AGUUGAGUUGAGUUGAGAAUAAUUGCAUGGUAUUGAAAAACGUUCAAGUUUGGGGUUGUUGGGAGAAUUGAAAGGCAAAGAAAAGCAUUGAGCUAAUGUGUUGAAUGAAAAAGCAUGAAAAAGAUAGAAAAGAUAAGCAUGAAAAGAAAAGCUCAAUGCAAAAGAAAAAGGGAAAGUUGGGAAUGAGUGAGAUUGGUGAAAGAGAGAGUUUGUGCUUGAAUAUGAAUGUUUGAAUAACUCUCUUAACUCAAGGAUUUUGUGAUCUAGAAAAACCAAAUUUUCUUGUUAGCCCAACCUCAUUAUAAGCCUUGAAAAGUCAUUGUGAUGGCAUUUAUGUGUGAGAAUGUUGAUGGUAGUAGAUGAAAGGCAAUUUUGUUCUAUGUAACAUGUAGAUAGUAGAGGGAAGGAGUGACCUCUUGAAACACUUGAGUGAUUGAGUGAAACACCUUAUCUGGUGAGGAUUGAUUCCAUGAAUUCAUGAUUGCAUCUGUGCUUAGUUAAUUGAUCAUUCAUAAGAAUAACAUCUGUUGAAAAUUAUAUGAUUAUGUGAACACAAUGUGAGUUGUGAUAAAGUGAAGCAUGUGUGCAUCUUGAUGGGAUUCCAUUGAAAAGCUGAAUUGAGUAGUUACUUGUUAUGAAAGAAUGGAUUUGAAUGUGUUGAACCAUGCUAAAGAUAGGUGAAAAGCUAAGUUUUGUUUUGUUUGCUUGAGGACAAGCAAAGUUCUAAGUUUGGGGUUGUGAUAACGGUUCAAAAACCAUUAUUUUCAUGCUUAAUUUUGAUACAAAACACACCCUUUAUGACUUAGAAAUUAGCUUGAAAUUAUGCAAAUUGCUUUAGUUAGGUUACAAGAGAGUGAAAGGUGGUUUUAGAGAUAUUAUGCUUAGUUUUCCUUGUUUUGACAGGGGUAAACGAGAAUUGAAUGAUUGAGAGUGAAGAAGGAAGGAGUUGGACUCAAGAAAGGAUGAAAAAAGGUACAAAGGAAGAAUCGCAGCCACAG